GUCAAGCUAACCAUUGAUUUUAUGGAAACACAAUUUUGUGGUUGAAGUAGAGAUUCACCUUAGGCGUUCACAAGUCUCACGGACACCAUGAAUUCAUGCUCAAUGAAGACUUUUUCAAACACUGAAUAGGGGGUUCCUUCAACAAUGAAGGUAAGCUUCUAUUCUUCACCUAUUCACUGUCCGACCAUCUUUGACACAUUUGGAUUAUGGCUAAGCUAUCAUCUUUAACAGGUUGAGCUCUGAGGAGAUGAUACCACUAUCAAAGGAAUCAGACCCAACAACUUUGCAUUAACCAAACUGUGUAACAAC
rnacentral:lncRNA from 1 species